CCUACGGGGGGCAGCAGUCGAGAAUCAUUCACAAUGGGGGAAACCCUGAUGGUGCGACGCCGCGUGGGGGAAUGAAGGUCUUCGGAUUGUAAACCCCUGUCAUGUGGGAGCAAAUUAAAAAGAUAGUACCACAAGAGGAAGAGACGGCUAACUCUGUGCCAGCAGCCGCGGUAAUACAGAGGUCUCAAGCGUUGUUCGGAAUCACUGGGCGGAAAGCGUGCGUAGGCUGUUUCGUAAGUCGGAUGUGAAAGGCACGGGCUCAACCCGCGGAAGGCACAUGAUACUGCGAAACUAGAGUGAAGGAGAGGGAACCGGAAUUCUCGGUGUAGCAGUGAAAUGCGUAGAUAUCGAGAGGAACACUCAUGGCGAAGGCGGGUUCCUGGACAUUAACUGACGCUGAGGCACGAAGGCCAGGGGAGCGAAAGGGAUUAGAUACCCCGGUAGUC
rnacentral:rRNA from 1 species